GUCUAUGGCCAUGCUUCCCUGAACAAGCCCAAUCCUGCCUGAUCUUGGAAAAUAAGUAGGGCUGGGCAUGGUUAGUAUUUGGAUGGGAGACCACUUAGGAAGGUCAGAUACUGUAGGCA
ensembl:rRNA 5S_rRNA 5S ribosomal RNA